rnacentral:rRNA from 2 species
UUUAUGGAGAGUUUGAUCCUGGCUCAGGAUGAACGCUGGCGGCGUGCCUAAUACAUGCAAGUCGAGCGAACGGACGAGAAGCUUGCUUCUCUGAUGUUAGCGGCGGACGGGUGAGUAACACGUGGAUAACCUACCUAUAAGACUGGGAUAACUUCGGGAAACCGGAGCUAAUACCGGAUAAUAUUUUGAACCGCAUGGUUCAAAAGUGAAAGACGGUCUUGCUGUCACUUAUAGAUGGAUCCGCGCUGCAUUAGCUAGUUGGUAAGGUAACGGCUUACCAAGGCAACGAUGCAUAGCCGACCUGAGAGGGUGAUCGGCCACACUGGAACUGAGACACGGUCCAGACUCCUACGGGAGGCAGCAGUAGGGAAUCUUCCGCAAUGGGCGAAAGCCUGACGGAGCAACGCCGCGUGAGUGAUGAAGGUCUUCGGAUCGUAAAACUCUGUUAUUAGGGAAGAACAUAUGUGUAAGUAACUGUGCACAUCUUGACGGUACCUAAUCAGAAAGCCACGGCUAACUACGUGCCAGCAGCCGCGGUAAUACGUAGGUGGCAAGCGUUAUCCGGAAUUAUUGGGCGUAAAGCGCGCGUAGGCGGUUUUUUAAGUCUGAUGUGAAAGCCCACGGCUCAACCGUGGAGGGUCAUUGGAAACUGGAAAACUUGAGUGCAGAAGAGGAAAGUGGAAUUCCAUGUGUAGCGGUGAAAUGCGCAGAGAUAUGGAGGAACACCAGUGGCGAAGGCGACUUUCUGGUCUGUAACUGACGCUGAUGUGCGAAAGCGUGGGGAUCAAACAGGAUUAGAUACCCUGGUAGUCCACGCCGUAAACGAUGAGUGCUAAGUGUUAGGGGGUUUCCGCCCCUUAGUGCUGCAGCUAACGCAUUAAGCACUCCGCCUGGGGAGUACGACCGCAAGGUUGAAACUCAAAGGAAUUGACGGGGACCCGCACAAGCGGUGGAGCAUGUGGUUUAAUUCGAAGCAACGCGAAGAACCUUACCAAAUCUUGACAUCCUUUGACAACUCUAGAGAUAGAGCCUUCCCCUUCGGGGGGCAAAGUGACAGGUGGUGCAUGGUUGUCGUCAGCUCGUGUCGUGAGAUGUUGGGUUAAGUCCCGCAACGAGCGCAACCCUUAAGCUUAGUUGCCAUCAUUAAGUUGGGCACUCUAAGUUGACUGCCGGUGACAAACCGGAGGAAGGUGGGGAUGACGUCAAAUCAUCAUGCCCCUUAUGAUUUGGGCUACACACGUGCUACAAUGGACAAUACAAAGGGCAGCGAAACCGCGAGGUCAAGCAAAUCCCAUAAAGUUGUUCUCAGUUCGGAUUGUAGUCUGCAACUCGACUACAUGAAGCUGGAAUCGCUAGUAAUCGUAGAUCAGCAUGCUACGGUGAAUACGUUCCCGGGUCUUGUACACACCGCCCGUCACACCACGAGAGUUUGUAACACCCGAAGCCGGUGGAGUAACCUUUUAGGAGCUAGCCGUCGAAGGUGGGACAAAUGAUUGGGGUGAAGUCGUAACAAGGUAGCCGUAUCGGAAGGUGCGGCUGGAUCACCUCCUUU